CAGAAUUGUUGAAGGGGUGAAAAACCGUCUGCUGCAGGGCUCUGGGAUUUAAAUGAAAGUCAAUAUUGAUCAGAACAGGAGGCGAUAGAGAGGAACACUAGGCCUGAAUCCUGAAUUGCAGGACAGGACACAGGCGUGGAGGAGCUCACUUGAAUGCUAGGCCCAGCUUCAGACUGUUCAAGAGAAGUGAGUCUUUGGCCGUUAUUUCAGAAAUAACACACAUCAGGUAUUCCAACCAACUGGGUGGAGCACAUCGGCAGAACUAUUGCUGAAUGUGAAUAUACCCAUAACUGGCAUUGUGAGAUCUUGGGACUGAGAAAGCUGAGACGGCAGGAGGAGCUCGUAAGGAGUCACUCUCUGCAAAAAGAAGUAAUACGUUACUCAGUAAUUCUGGGUAGAGUACUCUCUGCUAAAUUGGAGUUGGGUUCUGUCCUUUGUAAUGGAAAAAGUCCUGACUUACCACCUGAGGCUUGGUCUGAAUCAGAUGAACAUGGCAACAUGGCUCAAUAAAGCUAACACAUAUAGAACAUCUUCUGGGGAGCGAGCACAGAGCCAGGAACUUCCCCAAAUAUUCUCGCAGGGUGCAAGGGUGGCAGUGUGGUAUGGACUGACUGGACACUGGGAGGCCAACUGUGGAAGCUGAAGGCAAAAUUGUAAUGAUGCCCUGCCUGGUUGUGCUCAAAUUAAACCUCUGACUGGUUAA